UUGCUUUUAAGGGGAAGUAAAGAGCGGCAAAGGAGGGAUUGAUUAUAAGGAAAGAUAGGCGUUCGGCUAACUCGCUUUACCCUGAAUCUCAUAUAUAUAGAUAUGAUGCCCCUGAUAGAAACAGCUCAGUGGGCUCUAAGGAAUGAGCCAGCUGACGCUGCCCUUGUUACAGUGUAGGCUCCGUUAGCGCAAGUAAAAGAUGCAAUAAGGUAUAGAGAGGGAAUAUGACUACCGAAUAUUACUACAAUUAUCUAAGGUAUAGAGAGGGAAUCUUACAACUAGUAUAUAUUCAACAGGGAAUAUGACAACUAUUCUAUAUGAAACUCAAACAAUUGGCAACCGAGAAUAGCCUGUUCGACUUUAAUCCGUUUAUCGACGAGAGAAGAAAGAAGCGAAAGUAAGCUGCAAGCGCAAGUCCAACAAGCAAUGGAAUGAGCGUCUGACUCUAAUCAAAGGAAUGAGCGUCUUGUCUCGCCUUGACUCUAAUAAGGGCGUUAGCGCAGUGCGAUGAAGCGCCAAGGCCAAGGGACAUUUUAGGAAGAAAGCAAGUCCCAUCGAGUUAGCUCUUGGAGUAAAGGCAUGAUUUAAGGUAGCGAGUGACUUGAAGGUGAGAUGGUUCAAUAGUAGAUUAGAGAAAGCGACUUCCCAUUAGGGGAGGAAACUAACAAAAUAGCGUCGAUAAGGAAGUGGCUAUUCUUUUUCAUGACUCCGCAGCGCUCGAAUAAGCUCUUUGCACAAGAAAGGGAUAUGAGAGAAGAUGCCAACAAUCGGUACUCAAAAUCAAGUAACUUACUGGCGAACACAGGACUUGUAGUUCAGAAAUAAGAAUGAGU
rnacentral:lncRNA from 1 species